UACGGGGGGUGCGAGCGUUGUCCGGAAUCACUGGGCGUAAAGCGCACGUAGGCGGACUCUUAAGUCAGGGGUGAAAUCCUGGAGCUCAACUCCAGAACUGCCUUUGAUACUGAGAGCCUUGAGUUCGGGAGAGGUGAGUGGAACUGCGAGUGUAGAGGUGAAAUUCGUAGAUAUUCGCAAGAACACCAGUGGCGAAGGCGGCUCACUGGCCCGAUACUGACGCUGAGGUGCGAAAGCGUGGGGAGCAAACAGG
rnacentral:rRNA from 1 species